AUAUCAGUCAUGCAUAGCAUAUCAAUAAGCGGAGGAAAAGAAACUAACAAGGAUUCCCUUAGUAACGGCGAGUGAAGCGGGAAGAGCUCAAAUUUGAAAUCUUCAAGGUUUUACCUUGACGAAUUGUAGUUUAAAGAAGUGUUUUCUGUUGAAGUUUUGGUAAAAGUUCUUUGGAAUAGGACAUCAUAGAGGGUGAGAAUCCCGUAUUUGACCAUUACUUCAGCUUUGUGAUACACUUUCAAAGAGUCGGAUUGUUUGGGAAUGCAGUCCAAAAUGGGUGGUAAAUUUCAUCUAAAGCUAAAUAUUGGCGAGAGACCGAUAGCGAACAAGUACCGUGAGGGAAAGAUGAAAAGAACUUUGAAAAGAGAGUUAAACAGUACGUGAAAUUGUCAAAAGGGAAGCGUUUGACACCAGUGUUGUUUUCUCGAAAAUCAAUUAAAAGAGUUGGAUUUUGUGUUGUAUUGACUUUAUCAGCUUUCUUCACUCUUUUCCAGCUUUUUUUAAUGCACUUUUCGUUUAACAAGUCAACAUCAGUUUCUUUUGUUGUAAAAAGGUCAUUGGAAGGUGGCUUUCUCUUCGGAGAAAGUGUUUAUAGCCUUUGACUCAUGCAAUCGGAGAGACUGAGGUCUGCAGCGUAGAUCCUUCGGGGUUAGAUACAUUUGUGCUAAGUUAUAGCUUUUCAUAGACAACUUGUUGACUAUGUUUAGUCUUGUAGCUUACUCGCUUAUGCUAUUUUACCUACGCUUAGGAUGUUGAACUCUAUCACACACAG
rnacentral:rRNA from 1 species